UACACACCGCCCGUCACACCACGAGAGUUUGUAACACCCGAAGUCGGUGAGGUAACCUUUUGGAGCCAGCCGCCGAAGGUGGGACAGAUGAUUGGGGUGAAGUCGUAACAAGGUAGCCGUAUCGGAAGGUGCGGCUGGAUCACCUCCUUUCUAAGGA
rnacentral:rRNA from 1 species